rnacentral:rRNA from 1 species
GACGAACGCUGGCGGCGUGCCUAAUACAUGCAAGUCGAACGCUUCUUUCCUCCCGAGUGCUUGCACUCAAUUGGAAAGAGGAGUGGCGGACGGGUGAGUAACACGUGGGUAACCUACCCAUCAGAGGGGGAUAACACUUGGAAACAGGUGCUAAUACCGCAUAACAGUUUAUGCCGCAUGGCAUAAGAGUGAAAGGCGCUUUCGGGUGUCGUUGAUGGAUGGACCCGCGGUGCAUUAGCUAGUUGGUGAGGUAACGGCGCACCAAGGCCACGAUGCAUAGCCGACCUGAGAGGGUGAUCGGCCACACUGGGACUGAGACACGGCCCAGACUCCUACGGGAGGCAGCAGUAGGGAAUCUUCGGCAAUGGACGAAAGUCUGACCGAGCAACGCCGCGUGAGUGAAGAAGGUUUUCGGAUCGUAAAACUCUGUUGUUAGAGAAGAACAAGGACGUUAGUAACUGAACGUCCCCUGACGGUAUCUAACCAGAAAGCCACGGCUAACUACGUG